rnacentral:rRNA from 1 species
AGAGUUUGAUCCUGGCUCAGGAUGAACGCUAGCUACAGGCUUAACACAUGCAAGUCGAGGGGAAACGGCAUUGAGUGCUUGCACNCUUUGGACGUCGACCGGCGCACGGGUGAGUAACGCGUAUCCAACCUUCCCAUUACUGUGGGAUAACCUGCCGAAAGGCAGACUAAUACCGCAUGGUCUUCGAUGACGGCAUCAGAUUUGAAGUAAAGAUUUAUCGGUAAUGGAUGGGGAUGCGUCUGAUUAGCUUGUUGGCGGGGUAACGGCCCACCAAGGCGACGAUCAGUAGGGGUUCUGAGAGGAAGGUCCCCCACAUUGGAACUGAGACACGGUCCAAACUCCUACGGGAGGCAGCA